GGCGUUUGCACCAUGCUGAACUAGAGAGCCAGACAUCUUAAUUUGGAUCAGAGAUAUGUUUCUCACCGUCAAACACCUUUUUGUGGAGGACUUUCAUCAGAUCUUCUACAGGAAUAACAAGGAAGGAAGAAUUAACAAAGAAAAACAUUUUUUCGAACUUAGAAGUGGAUACCACCCCUUAGGAAAGCUGAAAUUCGCUAUAUUAAAUACAAAUCUUCUCAGCAAAACAAAUAUUAAUAUGAAGAGGAUCAUGAUCGAAA